rnacentral:rRNA from 1 species
CGCGUAGGCGGGAUAGCAAGUCAGGUGUGAAAUCCGGGGGCUCAACCCUCGAACUGCACUUGAAACUGUUAUUCUUGAGUGAUGGAGAGGCAAGUGGAAUUCCUAGUGUAGCGGUGAAAUGCGUAGAUAUUAGGAGGAACACCAGUGGCGAAGGCGACUUGCUGGACAUUAACUGACGCUGAGGCGCGAAAGCGUGGGGAGCAAACA